AGUCGAGCGGAAAGGCCCUUCGGGGUACUCGAGCGGCGAACGGGUGAGUAACACGUGAGCAACCUGCCCUAGGCUUUGGGAUAACCCCGGGAAACCGGGGCUAAUACCGAAUAUGACCUCCGAUCGCAUGGUUGGUGGUGGAAAGUUUUUCGGCCUGGGAUGGGCUCGCGGCCUAUCAGCUUGUUGGUGGGGUGAUGGCCUACCAAGGCGACGACGGGUAGCCGGCCUGAGAGGGCGACCGGCCACACUGGGACUGAGACACGGCCCAGACUCCUACGGGAGGCAGCAGUGGGGAAUAUUGCACAAUGGGCGGAAGCCUGAUGCAGCGACGCCGCGUGAGGGAUGACGGCCUUCGGGUUGUAAACCUCUUUCAGCAGGGACGAAGCGUAAGUGACGGUACCUGCAGAAGAAGCGCCGGCCAACUACGUGCCAGCAGCCGCGGUAAGACGUAGGGCGCGAGCGUUGUCCGGAUUUAUUGGGCGUAAAGAGCUCGUAGGCGGCUUGUCGCGUCGACCGUGAAAACCUGGGGCUCAACCCCAGGCCUGCGGUCGAUACGGGCAGGCUAGAGUUCGGUAGGGGAGACUGGAAUUCCUGGUGUAGCGGUGAAAUGCGCAGAUAUCAGGAGGAACACCGGUGUCGAAGCGGGUCUCUGG
rnacentral:rRNA from 1 species